UAGGAUUCUUUGGCACAUCAGAGAAUAUUAUUUAAUAGUUGAUUAAAUAAGGUUUAUAUAGGUGUUGAUUUUGGAUGAUUUGGAGAUGUUGUAAAUUUGUAAGAGCUUUGCAAAGUCAAGGUUUGUUUCAGAUGACUUGGAUUUUAUGAAAUAAAAUAGGAUUUACAUUUUGGAUGAUUUUGAGAGUUUUGUAGUAGAUCUAUGGAUGAAAUUUUUUGUGAGUUUAUGGUAAUAGUUGUGUUCAAUAUGUGUUGUGAAUUUGAGCUUGAUCUAAUGGUUGAAUUAAAGGAUAUUGAGGUUUAAGUGGGUCAAGGUCUUAGAAAGUAGAAUUUUAGGUCUAGUGAGGGUUUUUAAGCUUUCUUGCAAUCUACUUCUUGGAUUGGAAUAAAACUUAUGUAAAAAGAUAUUAGACUUAUUUUACUAUG
rnacentral:lncRNA from 1 species